UCACUUUGCAUUGUGUGUGUGUGAAGGAAGUAGGGUGGGCUAGCCAGUCUACCCGAGUGUUAACAAGCGAAAGCACAUGUGUGUCCGCCGGUUCUACGGCAAUGCCGAAACGAAAAUGCACGUUCAUGGAAAAGUUGAAGAAAAAAUUCCUGUGCUUUCGCCAGGCUGCUCAAGAUGGUAGUUUUUUUUUUUUUGCCAUACCUGCCCACAAUGCAAAUGUGGAGCGCAUCUUUUCACUGAUGCAAGUGCAGUGGACGAAGGAGAGGAAUUGCAUGUCUGUGGAUUCACUGAAAGGGAUUUUGUGCACCCAGUACAAUUUCAGGAACAUGACCUGCAAAGAUUUUCAUACCUACUUAAUGGGUAAUCGUAAACUGUUGAAAGAGAUGCAGUCUUCUGACAAAUACACCCCGCAAGAGGAGGACUGAAGAGGAGCCAAUUUUUUUUUUUCAAAUGCUGCACCGAUGGCCCUAUUUCUUUUUUCUUUUUUUUUUUUUUACUUAGUCUACCACUAUUACACUCAAAAAUGUCAGUGUACAUAUGUUUUUGUUAGUGUACAUAUGUUGUUUUGUGUUAUUCGGGCCAAUAAAUGCAAUUGUUAUACAGACACCAUGUCAUUUGUGUCAUAACAUACACCAAACACCGAUGAAUCCCCCCCCC